CAAUAGCGUAUAUUAAAGUUGUUGCAGUUAAAAAGCUCGUAGUUGGAUUUCUGGUUGAAGCGACCGGUCGGGCGUUGAUUCGUCUGCACUGGAGUCGGUUUUGGCCAUCCUCUAGGAAAGUGCGUCUGGUAUUAAGUUAUCGGGCGUAUGAUCCUGGUCUUUUACUGUGAAAAAAUUAGAGUGUUUAAAGCAGGCCUUCGCCUUGAAUACAUUAGCAUGGAAUAAUAAGAUAGGACUUUGGUCCAUUUUGUUGGUUUGCAGACCGAAGUAAUGAUUAAUAGGGAUAGUUGGGGGUAUUUAUAUUCCGAUGUCAGAGGUGAAAUUCUUAGAUUUUCGGAAGAUAAACUUAUGCGAAAGCAUUUACCAAGGAUGUUUUCAUUAA
rnacentral:rRNA from 1 species